rnacentral:rRNA from 1 species
AGUUAGUUGGCGGGGUAAUGGCCCACCAAGACAGUGAUCGAUAUCCGGCCUGAGAGGGCGCACGGACACACUGGAACUGAAACACGGUCCAGACUCCUACGGGAGGCAGCAGUGGGGAAUUUUGCGCAAUGGGGGAAACCCUGACGCAGCAACGCCGCGUGGAGGAUGAAGUACUUCGGUACGUAAACUCCUUUCGAUCGGGACGAUAAUGACGGUACCGGAAGAAGAAGCCCCGGCUAACUUCGUGCCAGCAGCCGCGGUAAUACGAGGGGGGCAAGCGUUGUUCGGAAUUAUUGGGCGUAAAGGGUGCGUAGGCGGUUUGGUAAGUCUUGUGUGAAAUCUAUGGGCUCAACCCAUAGUCUGCAUCGGAAACUGUCGGGCUUGAGUAUGGGAGAGGUGAGUGGAAUUUCCGGUGUAGCGGUGAAAUGCGUAGAUAUCGGAAGGAACACCUGUGGCGAAAGCGGCUCACUGGACCAUUACUGACGCUGAGGCACGAAAG